rnacentral:rRNA from 1 species
UACGUAGGGUGCAAGCGUUACUCGGAAUUACUGGGCGUAAAGCGUGCGCAGGCGGUUUUGUAAGUCUGUCGUGAAAUCCCCGGGCUCAACCUGGGAAUUGCGAUGGAGACUGCAAGGCUAGAAUCUGGCAGAGGGGGGUAGAAUUCCACGUGUAGCAGUGAAAUGCGUAGAGAUGUGAGGAACACCGAUGGCGAAGGCAGCCCCCUGGGUCAAGAUUGACGCUCAUGCACGAAAGCGUGGGGAGCAAACAGG